UGGGGAAUUUUGGACAAUGGGGGAAACCCUGAUCCAGCCAUCCCGCGUGUGCGAUGAAGGCCUUCGGGUUGUAAAGCACUUUUGGCAGGAAAGAAACGUCGCGGGUUAAUACCCCGCGAAACUGACGGUACCUGCAGAAUAAGCACCGGCUAACUACGUGCCAGCAGCUGCGGUAAUACGUAGGGUGCAAGCGUUAAUCGGAAUUACUGGGCGUAAAGCGUGCGCAGGCGGUUCGGAAAGAAAGAUGUGAAAUCCCAGAGCUUAACUUUGGAACUGCAUUUUUAACUACCGGGCUAGAGUGUGUCAGAGGGAGGUGGAAUUCCGCGUGUAGCAGUGAAAUGCGUAGAUAUGCGGAGGAACACCGAUGGCGAAGGCAGCCUCCUGGGAUAACACUGACGCUCAUGCACGAAAGCGUGGGGAGCAAACAGGAUUAGAUACCCUGGUAGUCCACGCCCUAAACGAUGUCAACUAGCUGUUGGGGCCUUCGGGCCUUGGUAGCGCAGCUAACGCGUGAAGUUGACCGCCUGGGGAGUACGGUC
rnacentral:rRNA from 1 species